ACGGAAGGCAGCAGUGGGGAAUAUUGGGCAAUGGGCGCAAGCCUGACCCAGCAACGCCGCGUGAAGGAAGAAGGUCUUCGGAUUGUAAACUUUUGUCUUAUGGGACGAUAAUGACGGUACCAUAGGAGGAAGCCACGACUAACUACGUGCCAGCAGUCGCGGUAAUACGUAGGUGGCAAGCGUUAUCCGGAAUUAUUGGGUGUAAAGGGUGCGUAGGCGGGAUGUAAAGUCAGAUGUGAAAUACCGCAGCUUAACUGCGGAGCUGCAUUUGAAACUUACGUUCUUGAGUGAAGUAGAGGUAAGCGGAAUUCCUAGUGUAGCGGUGAAAUGCGUAGAUAUUAGGAGGAACAUCGGUGGCGAAGGCGGCUUACUGGGCUUAUACUGACGCUGAGGCACGAAAGUGUGGGGAGCAAACAGGAUUAGAUACCCUGGUA
rnacentral:rRNA from 1 species